rnacentral:rRNA from 1 species
CCCUUAGAUGUUCUGGGCUGCACGCGCGCUACACUGAUGCGUUCAACGAGUGUAUCACCUUGCCCGAUAGGGUUGGGUAAUCUUUUGAACACGCAUCGUGAUGGGGAUAGAUUAUUGCAAUUAUUAAUCUUCAACGAGGAAUUCCUAGUAAUGAUGAAUCAUCAGUUCAUCGUGAUUACGUCCCUGCCCUUUGUACACACCGCCCGUCGCACCUACCGAUUGGAUGGUCCGGUGAAGCCUCGGGAUUGUGGUUCUUGCCGCUUUAUUGUGGCGUGACCGCGAGAACUUGUCUAAACCUUAUCAUCUAGAGGAAGGUGAAGUCGUAACA